rnacentral:rRNA from 1 species
AUUGAACGCUGGCGGCAGGCCUAACACAUGCAAGUCGAGCGGAUGAAGGGAGCUUGCUCCUGGAUUCAGCGGCGGACGGGUGAGUAAUGCCUAGGAAUCUGCCUGGUAGUGGGGGAUAACGUCCGGAAACGGGCGCUAAUACCGCAUACGUCCUGAGGGAGAAAGUGGGGGAUCUUCGGACCUCACGCUAUCAGAUGAGCCUAGGUCGGAUUAGCUAGUUGGUGGGGUAAAGGCCUACCAAGGCGACGAUCCGUAACUGGUCUGAGAGGAUGAUCAGUCACACUGGAACUGAGACACGGUCCAGACUCCUACGGGAGGCAGCAGUGGGGAAUAUUGGACAAUGGGCGAAAGCCUGAUCCAGCCAUGCCGCGUGUGUGAAGAAGGUCUUCGGAUGGUAAAGCACUUUAAGUUGGGAGGAAGGGCAGUAAGUUAAUACCUGGCUGUUUUGACGUUACCAACAGAAUAAGCACCGGCUAACUUCGU